rnacentral:rRNA from 1 species
GACGAACGCUGGCGGCGUGCUUAACACAUGCAAGUCGAACGGAAAGGCCCUGCUUUUGUGGGGUGCUCGAGUGGCGAACGGGUGAGUAACACGUGAGUAACCUGCCCUUGACUUUGGGAUAACUUCAGGAAACUGGGGCUAAUACCGGAUAGGAGCUCCUGCUGCGUGGUGGGGGUUGGAAAGUUUCGGCGGUUGGGGAUGGACUCGCGGCUUAUCAGCUUGUUGGUGGGGUAGUGGCUUACAAAGGCUUUGACGGGUAGCCGACCUGAGAGGGUGACCGGCCACAUUGGGACUGAGAUACGGCCCAGACUCCUACGGGAGGCAGCAGUGGGGAAUAUUGCACAAUGGGCGGAAGCCUGAUGCAGCAACGCCGCGUGCGGGAUGACGGCCUUCGGGUUGUAAACCGCUUUCGCCUGUGACGAAGCGUGAGUGACGGUAAUGGGUAAAGAAGCACCGGCUAACUACGUG